UUGAACGCUGGCGGCAGGCUUAACACAUGCAAGUCGAGCGGAUGAAAGUAGCUUGCUACUGGAUUCAGCGGCGGACGGGUGAGUAAUGCUUAGGAAUCUGCCUAUUAGUGGGGGACAACGUUCCGAAAGGAGCGCUAAUACCGCAUACGUCCUACGGGAGAAAGCAGGGGACCUUCGGGCCUUGCGCUAAUAGAUGAGCCUAAGUCGGAUUAGCUAGUUGGUAGGGUAAAGGCCUACCAAGGCGACGAUCUGUAGCGGGUCUGAGAGGAUGAUCCGCCACACUGGGACUGAGACACGGCCCAGACUCCUACGGGAGGCAGCAGUGGGGAAUAUUGGACAAUGGGGGGAACCCUGAUCCAGCCAUGCCGCGUGUGUGAAGAAGGCCUUUUGGUUGUAAAGCACUUUAAGCGAGGAGGAGGCUACCUAGAUUAAUACUUUAGGAUAGUGGACGUUACUCGCAGAAUAAGCACCGGCUAACUCUGUGCCAGCAGCCGCGGUAAUACAGAGGGUGCGAGCGUUAAUCGGAUUUACUGGGCGUAAAGCGUGCGUAGGCGGCCAAUUAAGUCAAAUGUGAAAUCCCCGAGCUUAACUUGGGAAUUGCAUUCGAUACUGGUUGGCUAGAGUAUGGGAGAGGAUGGUAGAAUUCCAGGUGUAGCGGUGAAAUGCGUAGAGAUCUGGAGGAAUACCGAUGGCGAAAGCAGCCAUCUGGCCUAAUACUGACGCUGAGUACGAAAGCAUGGGGAGCAA
rnacentral:rRNA from 1 species